CCCGCCUGCGGUCCACAUCUACGCAUGCGCGCUAAAGGUGUGGACGCUUGCUGGGGCGCGGGGAGGAGUGUCGGAUCUGCGGGCUUCACUCUAAAGCCGGACCAAGAAAAGAAAGGGUUUGGGCCAAGAGAGGGAGAGAGAGGGCGAGGCAGCGGGCGCGCUCCUUGUGGCCGGCAGAUAGGGCGCCGGCAUUACGGACACGCCCCGCGGGGGUGGCGCUGCCUGGUGACUGCGCAAGCGCGGCAUGCUGGAGUAGACCCUCAAGCCCCCUUUUUCCCUCCCAGGGACGCCCUCUUCGAUUCAAUGAAGAUUCCGGGCGGUGUGUGUAGAGCGGGUCUUGACGCAGCGACAGGCUUAGGUCGAACCACCGAUGCCCAGAACUGAAGGAUAAUGAAACCAACUCCAACCGGCGGUUGCCUCCUCUUGCAUUUUCUCUUCGUAUCCCCUCCACUCUUCCCAUUAGUCUUACUCAUACCUCCCCCUUUCCUCUUCUUUCUUUCUGCUCUACCGUUGUCAGUGGGCUUCGUCCCUCCAAAGCUCUCCUAGGAUGACGGAGUUGUUGAACAAGAGAAAACCGUGAGACGUCUGAAAACAAACGGAUUGAGAGAGAAAAAAGACACAGCUCGCCAGCUCAUAGUUCCAGUCUUCAGCUUCAACUCUUAGGACCUGCCUUAUAAGAAAUCUCUGCCUCAAAGAAAAUAUAUGAAGAAAUCACCUGACUCUACGAUAGAGUUUAUUUCUAUGAAUAAAAAAAAACUAUUGAGGCUAACAGAGAAAUUAGAUAUAGUGGAAUGGACACUGAGCUUGGAGGCAGAUAAUAUAGACUCACAAACCUGCUCAGUCACUGUCUAGCUCUGUGACAAUAGAUGAUUCAUUGAACCUCACUAAGCAUAUUUUCUCUUAUGUCAUAAAGACAUAGCACUUCUUGAGAUUAAUUCAAACAUUAAACAAGAUCAUGCAAAUUAAUGUGCUUUAUGUAGCAUAAAACACUAUGCAAAUACAGUGAUUACUAUUAUUAUUAAGAGUGAUGAAUUGCAUCACAAGGAACAAAAAAGCAGAAAAAUUACAGGGGAGAAUACUUAUAAAUGAUCAAAGCCACAAGCCGUCCUGGAAGAAAAUCGUCCCAAAGAAAGUUAAGCUAAGAACAGGAAUAGGUCAGAAGAUGGAGAAAUUAAAGAUUAAAACUGGGAGAACUGGAACUGACUUGAGCUGCGAAGAUUCGAUGUAUCAUCAAAAGGAGUAAUGAGACCAAAAGAAAGAAAUUCAAUAGCUAAAGACAGCAGAACCUCUCACAACACACUAACAACUUUGUAUUAUCAGCUCUAUCAGAUGAAUCCUGAUUCGCCUGUGUCGGAGCAAUUGGUGCAGAACAGUGAUUAAAAACAUAGGCCUUGAGUUGGCUAAACCUAGGGUUACAUAUCUGUCACUUGUUAAACAAAGAGACCUUGAGUAAGUUACGUAACCUCUCUCUACACCUGUCUCCUAUUCGGUAAAGUGAAAACAAUAGAAAUUACCAUAGGAUUGGGUGAGGACUAAAUGAUAUGUGGUCUUUGGCCACUAAUUAAUGUUCAGAAAUGCUAUCACUGCCACAAGAACUGAGGAAACUUUCUAUUUGAGGAUUGGGAGAGUACUGCCAAAGUGAGGAAAGAGGGAUGCUCAAGGAGAAACUUGGAACUCAAAUAGAACAGAAAUUAAUUCAGCUUUAGCUAUCUCUCUAGAACACUGUAUCCUAGAGAAAGACCCAUCAGACUUAAGAAGACAAUGAUGAGGAAGGUACUUUAACCCUGUGUGAAGCCAAGACAUGUGAAGCUACAUUUAUGACAUAAAUUCAUAGUCAUGGCAUGAUUUAAUGGAGUCACAGUUGAAUUCCUGUUCUAUCUUGAAUCCCUGUUCUAUUAUUUUAAUUGAUCAUCUUAGACAAUUACUAAUGAUUCAAACUUCAGUUGCCUCAUCUGAAAAGUGAGGUUAUCAGUAGCUACCAAAGCAAGCUAUUGUGAAAAUAAGAAUAUUUCAUGCAAAGAACCUGGCAGUGGGACUAACAGUUUCUGAAACAUUGAUUCUCUUCCCCCUAUAAGAUGUAAAUCAUCUAAGGAACUACUGUUUUAACUCUUAUAAUAUCUAGCCUAAUGUCUUGCAUGUAAUGGAGGCUCAAU